AGGACAGAAAUAGACAUAAUUCCACGCAAUCCUGAGAAUUUUUUUUUUGCCAUCUUGCAUUUAUUGAGAUUACACUUUGUGGGUUUUCAAAUGAAUGUUUCAUAAAUUACACACUGUUUAUGCAUACAGUAUACUGUAUCCAAGUAUAGGGCUAGGAUAAUACUUUUAAAAAUCAAUGUAUGAGACAAAAUUCAUAGUUGUGUAUAUGCUUAUUAUUUUGACCAAUGAAAAUAGGGCCUGUAUUCUGUGUACCAACCGUCUAUGGCUGGGGUUGGCAUCCAACAUUAAUCAACAUUAAGGUUAACAUUAAGUUUAAUUAUGACACCACAACAAAAUUUUAAUCUCCAAUAGAUCUGUCAUUUUAUUCUGUCCAUAUAGGCAACGUGCAUAGCAACAUUUAAAAAAACAUUUUUCUCCCAUAAUUAGGACUUUGUAAUUAUAUAUGAGCACUAUACAAGAAUGCUUCCAUCCUUGUAAAAACAUCCACAUCUGGUGGAAAGUUGGUAGGGUUAAUGAUUUCAACUCCAUCUUGUUCAUCAGCAAUCCACUUAACAAAUAGCUGUAUUUUUUUUUUUUAUAACCCUGUGGUUACAAAUUAUAUGCACAGUUCACAUUUUAGAAUACUGCUUUAAAUGACAUUUCUGGCUGACGUGGGUCUUUUAUUCUCGAUUUUAUUGUCUCUUUGUUUGGUAAGCCAUCAAACAAAACAACUGAGCUGCAGCGGAAAGCCUCCUUAAUAUACUCGCCGUCAGUGAAUGGCUUUCCACGUUUCGCAAUGCAAUGAGCAAUGCGACAGCUUGCCUCGGUAGCUGCCGUUUAGCAGUUGGCUUGCUUCCCAUACGUGGACGCGGCCCGUUUCAUUAUCAUGUACGCUAAUGGAGCUACCGGGGAUCUGUGGUUCUCAGGUUUCUGUACCUUGAUGGGUCUGGCCAGGUUGGGUCUCUUCUUGCGGAGGUAGAGGAGGCUGGCAAUGGUUACCCCAUAGGACAGAUAGUUGAUAAAGGACACAUAGUUGAUCAGGUUGUGUGUCUCUCCAAUGCACAGGAUGACUAUGGUGGCAAUGCACUGUGGGAGAUGAAGACAGACGGAGUAGACAAAAUUGAGUGCAGUACUCACACAGACCAGCAGGGCGGGGAUCGGAGUGCAGUUCUUUAGGUGGAUCAUAGCCAGCAGAUAGGGU